UACGAAGGGGGCUAGCGUUGCUCGGAAUUACUGGGCGUAAAGGGCGCGUAGGCGGAUGACUAAGUCGGGGGUGAAAGCCCGGGGCUCAACCUCGGAACUGCCUUCGAUACUGGUCAUCUUGAGUACGGGAGAGGUGUGUGGAACUCCGAGUGUAGAGGUGAAAUUCGUAGAUAUUGGCUGGAACACCGGUGGCGAAAGCGGCUCUCUGGCCCGGUUCUGACGCUGAGGCGCGAAAGCGUGGGGAGCAAACAGG
rnacentral:rRNA from 1 species